rnacentral:rRNA from 1 species
GAACGGGCCAACGAGUUACGUUAAGUAGCAAGGUUAAGCACUUAAGGUGCGGAGCCGUAGCGAAAGCGAGUUUUAACUGAGCGUUCAGUUACGUGACGUAGACCCGAAACCGGGCGACCUACCCAUGGGCAGGAUGAAGCGAAAGUAAAAUUUCGUGGAGGUCCGAACCCACGAGCGUUGAAAAGCUCGGGGAUGACUUGUGGGUAGCGGUGAAAUUCCA